CGCGGGGUGGAGCAGUCUGGUAGCUCGUUGGGCUCAUAACCCAAAGGUCGCAAGUUCAAAUCUUGCCCCCGCAA
rfam:Rubrivivax gelatinosus IL144 DNA, complete genome.